rnacentral:rRNA from 1 species
UACGAAGGGGGCUAGCGUUGCUCGGAAUCACUGGGCGUAAAGGGUGCGUAGGCGGGUCUUUAAGUCAGGGGUGAAAUCCUGGAGCUCAACUCCAGAACUGCCUUUGAUACUGAGGAUCUUGAGUCCGGGGAGAGGUGAGUGGAACUGCGAGUGUAGAGGUGAAAUUCGUAGAUAUUCGCAAGAACACCAGUGGCGAAGGCGGCUCACUGGCCCGGUACUGGACGCUGAGGCACGAAAGCGUGGGGGAGCAAACAGG